GAAGACUCAAAUGUCCGACAGCCGCUGAAGGCAGCAGGAGUCCUCCCAGUCAGAUCUGGCUGAACGUGACGUGCCGACUCGGAGCCGAGCGAGGUUUCCUGGCGGAGCUGCAGAGGGAGCAGGAGCCGAGCGGGUCUGUCUGUCUGUCUGUCCGUGUGUCUGUCUGCCGCCGCAGUCUCUGUCUGUCUGGGACACAAAACCCCCCUUUUCGGCUUCCACAGUCCGCACACGGCAUCAGCGGCUAUGGAUCCAUCGCUGUCCUCCUCCUGUUUUCGCCACUGAGGGACCGUUGGAUGCUCCAGUGCCCAUAGAGGAGGGAAGGAGGAGGAGGGGGCAUCCCUGUCGUUCUUCGACUACCAGGACCCAAUCGUGGACAAUAAAUCAGAGACGGGAGGUGUUUGUCGUACCGAGGGCCGCAGCGGCGAGCCGGCUUCUGAAAUAUCCAGCGGCUGCUCCUGUCAGCCAUUGUUUUUGUUGUCAUUGGAGGGCUCACAUUUGUUUUCCAGCCCUGGAUCUGCCCAGUGAAGGUGUAUGUGUGAGCUGUGCAUCGAGGGAACAUGGACAGUCUUUCACACCUUGUAUCCUUACAGCUCAUAGUGCUGAUAUGUCAAUGAUCACUGUCAGUACAGGGAAUGUAGGUAUUACCCUUAAUGUGUUAAAUUGUACAAGAAAGACCAGCCUCCAGGGGAUGGUGAAAUGCUGUUGGAGUCAUGCUUUGUUGUUAAAUUAGGUUACUUUUAAAUACUAGCAGGGGUGAAACAUCUAAGUCUUAUCUAAUGAUGAUCUCAUGAAUGUGACGUGGGCAAUUUUGUUAUGGGUGAUACAUUACAAUGGCAGUCCUUUAUAAAUCACCACUGUAUCUGUUAAACUGAACAGGGAAAUAUUUACCUCUGUGGUAAACACGGAGGCAGUUCAGGGUAAUUUUCAUCAGAGAAACAUUUAGAAACACAUUGUAGUCAUUCCAUAUUUAGUCAUUAGGGUGAUAUCACUGUUUGUAAGAAUGAUAUCAUCUGAACUUGUUCCACACGACCUUCCAAGUGAAUGAGCAUGCUGUAAAUAUACCCUGACAAUAGUAAUUGUUACGUUUGGUUCCUUGCAAUACAUCACAGUCAAACACGGUUAAUUGCUUUCAACAUCAGUUUGUUUCUUAUUUAGAUUUUCCAUUCGUUUGCUAAAUAUCACUAUCGAAAAUGUAUUUUUGGGCAUGUCACAGUGAUUUCAAACAUUGCUUUAAGAGUCACUACAAACAAGAGCCAUUAAAGACUACAGAAUACAGAACAUACACAUGCUAACAUUUGUACAUUGCCAUUCUCAGCUGGAAAACACUUCAGGUCAAGUUGUGUUGUUUUAAAUGUGCUAUAUGAAUAAUGGAAACUUGACUAGAUAUUCAGUCCCAUGCAAAAGCAUUAGUAGUGGUUCUGUGAGUUUAAUCUAACUUGGUGUCUUCCAGUGUCUUCCAUCUUUUGGUAUAAACUUAGACUAACUCCAAGAUGUUAAGAUCAGGGCUCUGUGAUGUCCAGACCAUCUGCUGCAGGGCUCUUUGUUCUUCUUGAUGCUGAAGUUAGUUUUUCAUGACUCUGGCUGGAUGUUUGUGCUUGUUAUCCUGCUGCAGAAUAGAUUUGGAGCAAUUCGAGACCCCGCUGAUGGUAUUGCAUGGUGGACAAGAAUCUGAACAUCUAAAGUACCUAAGACCAUUGCGCAGGAGUGUACAUUGCUGCGUCAAAUAUAUGUCAUUCCACCUCAGAUCCUACAAUGAGUUUAGCAAUGUGAGAGGUUGUUAUGAUGGAGAUGUUGAGUGAUCCUUAAGCUCUUGGUUUGGCAGCAGGAAGAGAUCAAUAGUACAUAAAUCACUGUUUGUACAAGAAAUUACAUUACUGUAUAGUAUAGAUUUAGGAAAAAAAACCUUAAAAUAUUGGUUCAGCUUGAUUGAAUGUGAGUCAAGGAGAGAUGGGGUUAAGGAAGAAGUGUUGGUGAUGAGAAGGAAGAGAGGAAGGUACCUGAAUUCUGCGAGGAAGACGGAUGAAAUAAGAGAAGAGAAAGUGAGCCAACGGAGCUCUAUGCUUACAUUUAUCUUUAGCAGCACUGGUGUCCCUGAAGAAGAGAAGGAAUAACACGAACACAUCUCCUUUUCAAACUAAAUAUUUAAGACACAGUAGUGUAUGUAUAUGACAGGGGAAAGCAGUCUCCUAUAGAAGGAGCUAGUAAAUGAAGCUGGUUUGUACUUGAUUAGUGCAUCCCUUUUCUGCUGAAAUUAGGGUUGGGAUUCUAGCGUUUCAUCCACCUGAGCCCAGUAUUGAAUUCGCUGUAAUCGCACUUUUUUAGUGAACUUCUUUCAUUUUAAAGUUCAACUUUUGUGACAGAAAUUCUAAACAACUUCCUUUUAAAAGAUCCAGGUAAAAUCUGUCGGUUGAGGAGACCGACAUAGUUUUGAAUGGUAGCCUAAUGAAUGUUCACAACCUGUAGUUUAAACCUGCAGAUGGGAUCAGACAGAGCACAGUUCAUUUUCAAAGAAGAUGCUCAGCAUACAUAGUAAAAGUAAAUAAAUAUUCACAGCAACAGAAGAUAAUCAAAUGUUGAUUGAAUAUGUAUUUACAUAUUGAAAUAACGGCUGCCUGCUGACUCUGUAACAUUUUCCGACAGCUCCCUGCUGCAAAUGCUGGAGAUCGUGAUUCAGAACUAAUAGCUGAUUCACUUCAUUUAUUGAUCUGAACUGAAUAAAAGUACAGCUGGGUUGAUUCUGAUUCCUAAAACUGACAUGAUGUGAUGCUUUUACUGGUAAAGACUCUUACCUUGUUGGGCAUGUUGGAACCACAGAAAUACUCAGUUUGCUCUGAUUAUUUAGUGGCUACAAAAGGCGAUGCAUCUUUUACCUCAUAAACCAUCUUUGGCUUUGUACAGUCACCUGUGUUGUCUUUCAGCUCGUUUCCACUUCGGCAACAGAAAAAUUUCAAUUUGGCCUGUCAUCAAGUUAAGCCCUGGAAUUAACGUUGACUGCCGAUAAGACCUUCUGCUGGUCAUUUUAAUCUCAGUCAGCACCGUCUAAAAGUAAAAGGCCUUUACCUGAAUGUUGUUUACUCUGAUCUUUGAUAAUAAGAACUCAGAAACAUUGGUGCGUCCCAGUUAUUUGUCACACUAUAAAUUUGAUUUGCAUAUGCAACCAAAAUAAACACACUGUGGAGGCCAAGAAUUAGUUAAUGCAUAGGUUGAAUAGAAGGACCAGCUACAGUCAAGGGGGGUACGAUGGAGGGAAGACGGGGAAGGGGAGAAGGACAGGGAGGAGCAGGGAAAGAAAUGAGAGCAGGGGCUAAAGAAGGAUGGAAAGAGGUCAGAGAAGGAGGGAGGCACAGGAAUUUUAAAUGCAAAGUAAAAGAUGAUGAGGAUGAAAUGAUGUCAGUGGAGUGGUAGAUUGAUGUGGAUGGAGGGAAAGAAAGAAGGAAGGAAGAAGAAAAGAAAAGUAAAAAGUGGAGUUGGUGAAAGACUAAUGGAGAGAAGGAAGGAAGUGUGAGUGUAAAAAGGUUAAUGAAGAAUGGAUAAAACAAAGGAGGGAGAGGAGGAAGGGAUGGAUGAUGAAGGAAAGUGAGAGUAGAAGUUGGUAAAUGAGGGAGUGGAGGGAAGGAAGGAAGGAAAGACGUGAGAGAGGGAAGUACUGGAGAAACUUCUGUGAGGGAGGAGGAGGAAGUGAUGAACAGAAAAAUGGAGGGAUGAUGGAUGUGAGGAGAUGAUGAAAAAGAAGGAAGGAAAACAGCAGAAGUAGUGGUAAAAAGUUUAGGUAAAAGUAGUUAGUGAAGCAGUGAGAGAGGCAAGAGGCAGGAAGAGGAAGAGUUAAGGAGGUUGGAGGUGAGAAUAGCACGAAAAGAGUGAAGGAUGAAGUGGAGGUAGAAGUAGUUAGGGGGUGACUGACAAAGAGAAGGAGGAAAGUGGGAGAGGGUGAAUGUUAUGAGGAGACUUGGAAAAUGGAGGGAGAGAAGAAGGUAAGGGAAGGAAGAUAGGGGACUGUCGAGAAAGAGGUCAAAGGGAAAGACUGUAGGAAAAGUGAAGAAGAGAAGGAGUUGGUGGAGAAGGGAGGGAACAAAGGAAGCAAGGAAAAGGU
ensembl:lncRNA